rnacentral:rRNA from 1 species
GACGAACGCUGGCGGCGUGCUUAACACAUGCAAGUCGAACGGAAAGGCCCUGCUUUUGUGGGGUGCUCGAGUGGCGAACGGGUGAGUAACACGUGAGUAACCUGCCCUUGACUUUGGGAUAACUUCAGGAAACUGGGGCUAAUACCGGAUAGGAGCUCCUGCUGCAUGGUGGGGGUUGGAAAGUUUCGGCGGUUGGGGAUGGACUCGCGGCUUAUCAGCUUGUUGGUGGGGUAGUGGCUUACCAAGGCUUUGACGGGUAGCCGGCCUGAGAGGGUGACCGGCCACAUUGGGACUGAGAGACGGCCCAGACUCCUACGGGAGGCAGAAGUGGGGAAUAUGGCACAAUGGGCGGAAGCCUGAUGCAGCAACGCCGCGUGCGGGAUGACGGCCUUCGGGCUGUAAACCGCUUUCGCCUGUGACGAAGCGUGAGUGACGGUAAUGGGUAAAGAAGCACCGGCUAACUACGUG